ensembl:lncRNA
UUAAAUGGGGGAUUUCCGAAAAGAAAAUGCGUGAUUUUUGCUUAAAUGGGGGAUUUCUGAUGAUAAAAAGCGUGAUAUUUGCUUAAAUGGAAGGUUUCUGAAGAGGAAACACGACAUUUUCGCUAAAAUGGGGGAUUUCCGAGGAGAAAACGCGUGAUAUUUGCUUAAAUGUGGGAUUCUCAGAGAUAAAACAGUUGAUAUUUGAUGAAAUGGGGGUUUUCCGAAGAGAAAACGCGUGAUUUUUGCUUAAAUGUGGGAUUUCUGAUGAGAAAACACGUGAUUUUCACUUUUAUGGGGGAUUUCCGAGAAGAAAACUCGUGAUUUUCACUUAAAUGGGGGAUUUCCGAAGAGAAAACACAGGAUUAUCGCUUAAAUGGGGGAUUUUCAAAGAUAAAAUGCAUGAUUUUCACUUAAAUGGGGGAUUCUCGAAGAGAAAACGCGUGAUUUUUGCUUACAAGGGGGAUUUCUGAUGAGAAACCGUGUGAUUUUUGCUUAAAUGGGGGAUUUCUGAAGAGGAAACAUGACGUUUUUGCUAAAAUGGGGGAUUUCCGAAGAGAAAACGCGUGAUUUUCGCUUAAAUGGGGUAUUCUCGAAGAAAAAACCCGUGAUAUUCGCUUA